rnacentral:rRNA from 1 species
CGUAGGGUUGUUGAUCGUUACUGCAGUCGAACGAUGAUGGGAGCUUGCUCCUGGAUUAGUGGCGAACGGGUGAGUAACACGUGAGUAACCUGCCCUUAACUCUGGGAUAAGCCUGGGAAACUGGGUCUAAUACCGGAUAUGACUCCUCAUCGCAUGGUGGGGGGUGGAAAGCUUUAUUGUGGUUUUGGAUGGACUCGCGGCCUAUCAGCUUGUUGGUGAGGUAAUGGCUUACCAAGGCGACAACGGGUAGCCGGCCUGAAAGGGUGACCGGCCACACUGGGACUGAAACACGGCCCAAACUCCUACGGGAGGCAGCAGUGGGGAAUAUUGCACAAUGGGCGCAAGCCUGAUGCAGCGACGCCGCGUGAGGGAUGACGGCCUUCGGGUUGUAAACCUCUUUCAGUAGGGAAAAAGCGAAAGUGACGGUACCUGCAAAAAAAGCGCCGGCUAACUACGUGCCAGCAGCCGCGGUAAUACGUAGGGCGCAAGCGUUAUCCGGAAUUAUUGGGCGUAAAGAGCUCGUAGGCGGUUUGUCGCGUCUGCCGUGAAAGUCCGGGGCUCAACUCCGGAUCUGCGGUGGGUACGGGCAGACUAGAGUGAUGUAGGGGAGACUGGAAUUCCUGGUGUAGCGGUGAAAUGCGCAGAUAUCAGGAGGAACACCGAUGGCGAAGGCAGGUCUCUGGGCAUUAACUGACGCUGAGGAGCGAAAGCAUGGGGAGC